rnacentral:rRNA from 1 species
UACGGGGGGAGCAAGCGUUGUUCGGAUUUACUGGGCGUAAAGGGCGUGUAGGCGGCCACCGCAAGUCGACUGUGAAAUCUCCGGGCUUAACCCGGAAAGGUCAGCCGAUACUGCGGGGCUAGAGUGCAGAAGGGGCAACUGGAAUUCUCGGUGUAGCGGUGAAAUGCGUAGAUAUCGAGAGGAACACCUGCGGCGAAGGCGGGUUGCUGGGCUGACACGUGACGCUGAGGCGCGAAAGCUAGGGGAGCGAACGGG